rnacentral:ncRNA from 2 species
AGCAGCCGCGGUAAUUCCAGCUCCAAUAGCGUAUAUUAAAGUUGUUGCAGUUAAAAAGCUCGUAGUUGAAUUUCGGGAUUGACACAUCGGUCGUGCCUUAAGGGGUAUGAACUGGUGUAGUCAAUUUCUCACCUUCUGGAGAACCGCGAUGCCCUUAAUUGGGUGUCGCGGGGAACCAGGACCUUUACUUUGAAAAAAUUAGAGUGUUUAAAGCAGGCAUUUUGCUUGAAUACAUUAGCAUGGAAUAAUAAAAUAGGACGGCAUGAUUCUAUUUUGUUGGUUUCUAGGAUCACCGUAAUGAUUAAUAGGGAUAGUUGGGGGCAUUAGUAUUCAAUUGUCAGAGGUGAAAUUCUUGGAUUUAUUGAAGACUAACUACUGCGAAAGCAUUUGCCAAGGAUGUUUUCAUUAAUCAAGAACGAAAGUUAGGGGAUCGAAGACGAUCAGAUACCGUCGUAGUCUUAACC